CACGUAGGGGGCGAGCGUUGUCCGGAUUUAUUGGGCGUAAAGAGCUCGUAGGCGGCUUAGUAAGUCGGGUGUGAAACCUCCAGGCUCAACCUGGAGACGCCACCCGAUACUGCUAUAGCUAGAGUCCGGGUAGGGGAGCGUGGAAUUCCUGGUGUAGCGGUGAAAUGCGCAGAUAUCAGGAGGAACACCAAUGGCGAAGGCAGCUCGCUGGGACGUGACUGACGCUGAGACGCGAAAGCGUGGGGAGCAAACAGG
rnacentral:rRNA from 1 species